UACGGAGGGUGCAAGCGUUACUCGGAAUCACUGGGCGUAAAGAGCGUGUAGGCGGAUAGAUAAGUCAGAAGUGAAAUCCAAUAGCUUAACUAUUGAACUGCUUU
rnacentral:rRNA from 1 species